ACCUCAGCCUCCCAGAGUGCUGGGAUUACAGGCAUGAGCGACCACGCCUAGCUUCCAAUUCAGUCUUGAGCCCAUAAACUUCUCAGUACAGUGGUUUCCAAUGCACCUGUUUCCAAGUAUAUCCUAAGAAUCUUGUGUUAACAGGGGCCUGCUUUAAUCAGGGUUCCUGCAAUUAGCGUAUUAGUUUAUUGGUAAAUAAGCACUGGUUUGUUA
rnacentral:lncRNA from 10 species